AACGCACAUUGCACCUUUUGGUACUCCUUAAGGUAUAUCUGUUCGAGCGCCGUUUGGCUCUAAGACUCUGUCUUGUGUUGAUCAACCCAGUAAAUGGGUGAUCGAAAUGAAUUGGCUUUUGCUAUCUGCCAGAAACACAGCGAUAUGUGAAGAAAAGCAGACGACAGAACGCCUCGUCCCCAUGAUUUUGUACCCAUGGCCUCGGAUCAGAUAGGGAUACCCGCUGAACUUAA
rnacentral:misc_RNA from 1 species